rnacentral:rRNA from 1 species
GAUGAACGCUGGCGGCGUGCUUAACACAUGCAAGUCGAACGGAAAGGCCCUGCUUUUGUGGGGUGCUCGAGUGGCGAACGGGUGAGUAACACGCGAGUAACCUGCCCUUGACUUUGGGGUAUCUUCAGGAAACUGGGGCUAAUAUCGGAUAGGAGCUCCUGCUGCAUGGUGGGGGUUGGAAAGUUUCGGCGGUUGGGGUUGGUCUCGCGGGUUAUCAGCUUGUUUGUGGGGUAGUGGCGUACCAAGGCUUUGACGGGUAGCCGGCCUGGGAGGGUGACCGGCCACAUUGGGACUGAGAUACGGCCCAGACUCCUACGUGAGGCAGCAGUGGGGAAUAUUGCACAAUGGGCGGAAGCCUGAUGCAGCGACGCCGCGUGCGGGAUGACGGCCUUCGGGUUGUAAACCGCUUUCGCCUGUGACGAAGCGUGAGUGACGGUAAUGGGUAAAGAAGCACCGGCUAACUACGUG